CUGAUUGACCAACUGAAUGAAUAAUCUAUCAAUAAAUUUACCAAGAGACUAGUAGUAUUGUUAAUUCAUUUAUGCUGAAUGGUUACAGACUGAACAUAGUUGGGUUUCCAGAUGAGUUAUUGCCUUUUCAUAUGAUUAUUUCUGCUUGAUGGUUUCAACAUCCUUUCCCACUGCCGAGAUGGUCUGGGAUACUGUAAAGGGCCAUUAUGAAUGAGAAAAAAUAUCUAACCCUUAAAUUUAAAAUAAGAUGUAUAGGGCCAUUUCUCAGUAGUAAGUCUUGACUCUGUUACACCUUGUGGGCCUGAAUACUGCCUCACUGUUGAUGAUUGAAAAGUUAAUUGUCAAAACAUGGCACAUACCUCUUUUUUUUCCUGUCUGUACAGCUGUUUCAACAACUGACUAUGGCAGUAUUUUAAGCUUUCAAACAAUUUUUUAUCUGGAUGAGUUAAACCUGUGUCAUUGUUAUUUUUAUAUCAAUGUUCAUUAUGUUCUCACUGGCCAAGAUGCAACUUUUUGUAACAUAUUACAAUCCUUGUACAGAUGUAUGGGGUCAGAACCUAAUAAAGCACUAGUUACUCAUGUCACUACACUUUUUCCACCAUCUUCAUCUCAAACAAGAACAACCCCAUUUACUGUGUUCAAACCAUUUUUGUUUUAGCUCCAUGUGAAACAAAAGCCAGAGCUGAAGUUACAUAAAGACGUCAUCUUUACACAUCAAACCAAAUAUUUCUUCACUAAAGAGCUAGUCACCAACAGGUAGACAUUGUUUUAGUUGAAGAUUACAGUUAUGGAGGAAUCGUAUAUGAUGUCUACGGGGAUCGAAGUAUUCAAGUUGAGAUGUCGAUGUACCGAUUACAGCCCGUUCAAACAGAAGUACAGAUUAUAUUUGUAUCCUUAACCUUUCUCCAGAUUGCUAGAGGAGCAAAGAAGCCGGAAAGAUUGGGCCUAAGAAAUCAAUAAUGAAAGGCAGGAAAAUAUUAGCUUUUUGUCAGAUGAAGAAAAGCUAAUAUAGUUUAAUUACACCGAGGAGACGCUUAGUCUAUACCAAGACAGGAGAAAGUAACAACGCAGAAAGGAAGGAAAUAUUUGAAUCAUUUGUCUCUCCCAAUAUUUACGUUUACCCUGAUAGCUUGGACAAAUAUGAACAUUGGAAAGGAGAUAUUGGUAAAACUCGGGGGUCGAUCCGCCACCGUCCCCCACUACACCCACCUAUUAAAGGCAGUUUUUUUUUAGUAUUUGUAAGAGCUGCGUACUUUCUGGCGACAACAUCAUGUAACAUACAUGCGUAAUAAGACCUUUAAAUGUUACUACCACUUGGUAGAGAACUUUUUUUAAAAACUUACCAAAACUGCCACAGGAGGUGGGCGUGGUGGGGGAGGUUGGUUGGGGAAAACACAACUGUAUUGAAGAAGUGGUAAUUAAAUUCUUGUACCUAAAAAAAUGCAACUGAAUUGAUGUAAAAAAGGAUUGUUACUUACAUUAGGAGGUUAUACUAUAAUAUUAAUAAAAAAAUGUUUGUACCACAA